rnacentral:lncRNA from 1 species
CAAGGAGUCACAAUGGACAGAUCUAUAACUUUUGGGUUUGAAGUACCCUCUGCUUCACUUCAAUCAUUUAUUAGUCUAUCCAUUGUCAUUUCCCUCCUGAUAUACGAUCGCAUACUCAUUCCAAUUGCUAGAAAUUUCACUGGAAAACCUUCUGGAAUUACAAUGCUACAAAGAAUUGGAUUUGGGAUGCUAUUAUCUGCUAUUUCCAUGGUCAUUGCUGCAUUAGUUGAGAUUAAAAGGCUGAAAACAGCUCAAGAAUAUGGUUUGGUUGAUCAGCCUAAGGCGACUGUUCCUUUGAGUAUAUGGUGGCUGGUUCCUCAGUAUGUACUGUUUGGAGUUGCCGAUGCUUUCACCAUGGUUGGGUUGCAGGAGUUUUUUUAUGACCAAGUUCCGAGUGGAUUAAGAAGCAUUGGUCUCUCCUUGUACUUGAGUAUUUUUGGGAUUGGCAACUUUUUAAGUAGCUUUCUCAUCUCCGCCAUUGAAAAAUUAACUAGUGGGGAUGGGAAACAAAGUUGGUUUGACAAUAAUCUCAACAAAGCUCAUCUCGAUUACUUCUACUGGUUGCUUGUAGGGCUUAGUGUUAUUGGGUUGGCUGCUUUCGUAUUUUGUGCAAGAACUUACAUCUAUAAUAAGGGGAACACCACGUAAGUGUAAGUAUAAUUUGGUAAGGUGUAUUUGGUUUGAGGAGUAAGAGAAAUUGGAGUUGGGAAGUAAAAGUAGUAAACUCUAGUCUCGUUUGUUCUAAGGGGAUUUGUUGAUCCCACUAUUGAAAACAUCAAAUUUUUAUAUUAUCAAUUAUUUACGUCGUGACCGUGGGUUUGAGUGUUCACGAAACCCAAGAUUUCAGGAUUCCUCAAAGCUCACUAUUCCAUUGCUUACCUAAAAUGCAUCUUUAUGUACUGUAAUGUAUUUGAAUUUUUAGGAAUCCUAUUCUUAAAAGUUUUCAUAGUUACUUGCGUAGAAGCCUCUCUUGCUUUGUGGGAUCAAGAAAUUACAUCCACCUUGAACUCCACCAUAUGUUGAUUGGGCGGUAAUCUUAAGUUAAGUUUGUCAAUGAAGAUGAAAUUUCGUUGAUUUGACUGAUUUUGUGAUUUGUCAAACUUUCCAUAAAGCUUAGGAAUUUGAGAAGUAGGCAUGAAAAGGUGAAGUGCAUUUGUUAUGUACAUUUAUACAUGAUUUUUUUUUGCUAAUUUUUCUAUUUAAAAUACCCUCAUUUUAAUAUGAAUUGUUUUAAAAGUUAUAACUUAAACUACUUAUCAAAAGCCAACCUCAAAUAUAAUAUAAUAGUAUAAUUACAUAAUUAUAUAGUAAAGCAAACUUAAAUCUCUAAAAUAAUUUGGAUCAAUAUUAUAUGAGUAAUUCAAAAGUACAAAAACAAAACAAUUUUUUUAAGAACAAAUGUUUUAAAAUUUGCAAAUUAUUGAUUUCAUACUUUUACAUAAUUGAGUAAACGUUUCAUACCAUAUAGCAUAUACUUUAUAUUAAGUUAAUUUUUAAAUAUAAUAUUAUCACAUUCUAUCCUUUUCGUGUUAAGAAAACUAUAUAUAUUUAGGAUAGUAUAAAUUCAUAUAUUUAUAAUUUUAGACUCAUUGAUGUAAUGUUUUUAAAUAAUAUAAUAGUGUGAAAACAAAACUUUAUUAACUUCUAAAUUUGUACUCGUUUUAAAUAUAAUAUUAUCACAUGCAAUAUUCUCUCUCUCUAUAUAUUUGGGUGCACAUCAUCGUCUCUCUACCACACAAAUUAACGGCCAUCAUCUAUCAACCGUCCACGCUGCUUUAUUUCUUGAUCUCAUGUGCAUAUUUCCCUUCAGGUAGGCUCAAGGGUGUCGGUGCUACACAAGCUCACGACAGUGACGAAACAAACCGGCCACUUUCACCCAUGAAUGCAGCGGUGAGGCUUCCUUUUCUUGGCUGUUUAUCGACUUUCGCCGCUUUUGGACUCAAAUCAGUUUGUCCAAAUCUUGAAAAUGACAGAGAACGACGAACUCGAACUUAUUCGAUUACCAAUCAGACUACAUUUGAUGCUGUAUGGCUUCUUUCGGUAAACUUGGAGUAGUUUCGUACCAAUGCGAAUACCUUUUAGCAGCAAUUCAAGUCAAUUUUGGUAAUAUUUGGAUCGUAAAGUUAUGUUUAAACCCAGUAAAUCUCUAUCGAAGUAUGUUGGAUCAUUCUUUAUUCAUUGGAAAGUCUCUGUUUUCCUUUUUUGACUUUUUGUUAGACCAAGAGAUACUGUAGAACAGUACAUUUGUUUUGUUUCUAUCUUGUGAUGGGUAUAAAAAAUUCAAAGUUUGAGCACAUUAUUGAUUUCGGUGUGGGUUUUGUAAAUAUCAUUGGAGAUGAAUGGUCUGCUGAUGAGAUUGAUGCAAUGAUAAAGCUUAGAGGAAAUGGUUUUGAUAAUGCAAUAUUCAAAGCCUGGACUAAGUGGUGGUGUGUUCAAAGUUCAAGAAAGUUAUCUGUUUUGAUAAUGCAAUAAUGGUUUUACCAGUAUAGGUAUUAUGAUUUCCCUCCUGAUAUAUGAUCGCAUACUCAUUCCAACUGCAAGAAAGUUCACUGGAAAACCUUCUGGAAUUACAAUGCUACAAAGAAUUGGAUUUGGGAUGCUUUUAUCCAUCAUUUCCAUGGUUGUUGCGGCCUUAGUCGAGGAAAAAAGGCUCAAAACAGCUCAAGAAUAUGGUUUGGUUGAUAUGCCAAAGGCGACUAUUCC